GGAGACCGACAACAUGGCCGAUUCGUCGCACAACGUGGAGGAUGAAGUUGGGAGAGUGUUGGAGCAGGCGAAGGAGCUGCAUGAUUCAGCUGCAUCUCUAAUUUCCAGAACAGCCAGCGACGAACAGUCUCUCCGCCAGCGUGCUCUCUCUCUUGAGUCUUCAAUUCGUCGUCUUCGUUCUUUACUCAAUUCGCUUCUCUCCAAGAAGCUUUUGGACUCCAAGCUUGCUGAAAAGCUGGAAGAUGACUUGCAAAGAGCUAUAUGUAUGAUGGUCGAUGGAGAGGUUGCGUCGUUUCUUCC
rnacentral:misc_RNA from 1 species